AACGGAAGGCGGUGAGAAUCCGCCGUGGACGCGCCACUGUUACCGGCGACGAACGCACCUCGAGGCCACUGGGAAACCGGGAAGGCGGUGCGGGAGGACGACCCGGAAGCCAGGAGACGU
rnacentral:ncRNA from 2 species